GCACUGGUAGCUCAGUUGGAUAGAGCACUCGGCUACGAACCGAGAGGUCGGAGGUUCGAAUCCUCUCUGGUGCA
rnacentral:tRNA from 1 species